CAAAGAAUAGUUUAGUUUAGAAUUCUAGCUUUGGGAGUUAGGGGUGGGAGUUAAAAUCU
rnacentral:tRNA from 1 species